UUCCUUUUUAUUUAUUUCUGUAGGCUGUAGUAAGGGACCAUUGCUUUAAAACCCUUUGGACAUAUUUUACAAGACAGAACAGUUUCUGAAUGUCACACAUUGAUCACAGUUUCAUACUAUUACAUGCAUAUAAAGACACGGAUUUUUUUUUUAAUAAUUUGUUUUACAGAAACAACUGGAGAGGUCAAUAAACUUCAACAAAGAAUGAAUAAAUCAAAGUUACAAAAAAUGUAAGACUCUAAGUACACUAGUAUAUGGCUAAUGUUGCUGUAAUCACCCCAUAUGCCAGGGCAUCGAAACAUUUCUUAAAAGGGAAGAAAACAUCUGCUGGUGCAUUGGACCAAUAUAAUUGAGUGAAUUCCAAUAGAACCCAAUGAAAAAAUUGUGCAAGACAUGCAGGAUCUGCUGGGCACAAGCACUGCCCUUCCUCACAGCCACGCUGAGCUGGGUUCCCACUGAUUCCCCAUUGCACAGGUCAAAAAAACGCUGUGCAAGGCAACGGAGAAACCGGUCCCAGGCUGACCUUGCUGGGGCACAGCCAGGUUCAGUUUCCAGCUAUAGAAGCAAUUUGAUCUAAAUGUACCAGCAGAGCCACAGGAAACGUAUUUUCUGGUUUUUAUUUGUCGUUAAGUAUCACUUUCUUUUUAAAAAGGACCCCACAGCUUUCCUGCCCUGCAGUGGCGAUGGGCGCCUGUGGCUGCCCUUUGGGGACGUCCCUGGGAAGCCUUUGGCAGGUCGUGGGCAUUGGAGGGGACCCGGGCUGGUCCCCAGCCCCAGCCGUGGUGGCAGCGUGGGCACGGGGCCAUCGGGCACGGGGCCAUCGGGCACGGGGACAUCGGGCACGGGGACAUCGGGCACGGGGACAUCGGGCACGGGGACAUCGGGCACGGGGACAUCGCCGAGCAGCGCUCGCCUCGCUGACGUGCCAAAGUUUCCUCCCUUUUCCGAAACUGCUUCACUGGCCUGAUCAGAGAGCAGCAUUCUGCUGCAGAAAGUGGGGGUGUGUUUUUUAAUGCUAAUCUACUUGGAAAGCAAGUUUGGUUGGUAGCUGUGGCUGGCCUUUCUGAGUACAGUAUCAUGGCUUCAAAAUUCGAAGUAAAAUGGAGAUGCUGGUCCCCCACCCUCCCCCCCCAAACACAUUAGUGGGGAAUGGUUCAAUGCAAAAGGGAUUUUCUACACUGACCACCAAAAAGCCAGAGAAUGGGGGGAAAAAAAAACCGUUCCUCACAAGCCAACAAAACUGACAUAAACAAAAUAAAUCCCAGGGGUUCUGUGAGCCAACGUGUGGCAAACAGUAUGUGGAGGCAGUAAAACAUAACAGGAAGAAGAGUCAUAAAUGGCAGAGCUCCUAAAUGAAAAAUACAGAGCAGAGAAGAACGAUGAAUGUUCUUAAGUGCAGAUUAGCAACAGGACCAGAGUUCGUGCCACAGUUCAAAGUGACCCAUGGCCCACCUGCUGGCAGUGUCCUCCCAGCUUCAGCAAGGGCUGCGGGCCGAGGCUGGGACCCUGCUGCAGCCACAGCCCUGCCAGCCCCAGAGAGCCAGCUGCCCUGGAGGGAUGCUCAGUCCUGUCUGCAGUGACUGUCACCCUCUGGCCUCUGUUCCCCACUCCCGCACCCCGUUUCCAGAGAAGUGCUGUGGGCAGACACCUCCAGCCCUGAGGCCGUACAAAGCUAUUAAUUUUCCAUUAGCUUUUAGAGAUAUGGCUCCAAAUUCUUUACUGAUCUAAAGGGGGCACAGCUCCAUUGGCCUCAAUGGGCUUUAUGUUACAGCAGCAAAGAAUUUGACAUUUCAUAGAAAUUUGACUUCCUGGCUUUCAUGAGGCUCUAGUUUUGAGGGGUCUUUGCGUGGAGUUCAGCCUUUUUAUUAAUUUUCAAAGGUAGUGUCACUGCAGUCCUGGAAAGACCCCUUUAAAAAUAAAGGUUAAUCCUUGUUCAAUCCUACAGAGCAUCAACAGUAUUACUACUAGUUAAAAGGAAGAAGGAAGGUUUUGCUUUCUCUUCUAAGCCUCUAAGACUGAAAACUUCUUGUGCAAUGAAGCCAGAAUCAAGCAAAGCAAAAUUUGGAGUAGUAUUUACAGAUAUGAACACUUGUGGCACCCAACCAUUGGUGUCAAAGGACACUUAUUGUGGCUUAGGUAACACCAGCAGCAACCAGGAUGCACGUCCUGGAUGCAAACUUCCCAUUUUCCUAAGGUUUCCUUUGCCUGGCCGAGACACAGUUUCAGUGCAAGAGCCUAAUGUGAUCAGCGUGGGUGUGAGGUGCAUGCUGAAAAAUAAACAUCUCUUCUUCAGAGGGCUGGGUGGAGUGUGGGCGCUCCUGUCCUGGUGUGGGAGGGCAAGGUAAGAGUGGUCUGACUAGAAGCUUUUUGUGGUUUUCUUGACUAUGCUCUAGCAAACUUGCUGAUAUGGACCGUGCCUUUUGAAGAGACUUAUGUGAUUGCUGACAAUAGAUAUGGCAGCCUAUUGCAUUAAUUGCUUCCUAAGAAAGAAAAAUCCCACUCAACUUUAAUAUCUUCAUUUGUGAACAAGUCUUGCUGAUAAUCACAUGCUAAACUGCAUCUACAUAUUAUUCCUUUCAUUUGAGGAUACCUUCUGAAGCACCUUUCCAAAUUACAUCUGGUUCAGGUUUAUUGUCCAUUAUGGUGGACAUGUAAGAAAAUCUCAGAAACAAAAGGAAAUGGAACCAAAGCUCUAUUGUUGGCAAAAGCAUGGUCACUGACCAAACUGCUGGGCCGAAUCAGAAAGAAAUGUCUGUGCAGAGCUGGAGUGGCCCUGAAGCUCUUCAUCGUGCUAAACUUCAACAGGCCAUGAGAUAGCUUUAGGAUGAACAUUUAUCUCAGGGACUUUUUACAAAAUUUCUCUGAAUAUAGCUGUGCAUUCAGCUACAAAGGAGCAAAGAGCAUCAUUAUGUAAUCAGGUACAUGGACAGAUUUUACCAUAACUAAAUCAAAAUCUGGUCUCUUCCUGAAUGUUUGUUUCUCAUUCCUCCAUUUUUACUAAUUUCCUGAUUUUCUCUGGGACCAAAAAUAAAAAUUCCAAAACCCAGCGGGAAAUCAAAGUCUGGACACUCUGUUUUAAUCCAGGAAAAACUUCUCUGAAGGUGCCUGAGCUUUGUCAGGUCACUGCCUUGAAUAAGAGCCUAGAUUUGUUUAUACCAAAUCCAUCAUGUCACUAUUAGGACAAUUAGAUUCAAAACCUGUCUCUUCUUUCUGUUCUCAGCUUAAUCGAUGUAAAUCUGGAGAAACUGCAGCCAGGGGUGUUGGGUGACCUUUUCCCUGCUGUCACCAAGGGCAGUCUGGCCUGCUCCACGUUUCUCAGCAGGAACAUCUCAGUUCCCACAGCCAGUCCCUGGUUAAAGUACCACAAACAGGAAAAUACAAAAACAUGACAACAUCAGACAAACCCCAUGACCUUUCACAGAUGCACUUCCAGGAGGAAUGUUGCAGGUGUUCAUCCGAAAAAAAAGAAAAUAACAACAAAAAGGUUGGGGGAUCAGCUGUGUAAAUGAACACUGAGAGAGCAUCUAAUAUAUUAUUCUGUAAUACAAAAAGAAGAAAUCUGACUUGAUUGCCCUAUUAUAAAUUUGCUAAAAAUACAGAUAUAUAUUUAUAUUUAUAUAUAUAUAUUUAUAUAUAUAUAAUUUUUUUAAAAUCUGAACAGAAAAAUAGACUACUCUGGAAUGCAUGAAAGUCACAUGACUUUUCCAUACAUCAGAUACUUAUAAAGCCCACACAAUGGCAAGCAGGAGGUACAGAGGUAACCAGAACAUCUGUACUUUAUUCAAGAACUAUUCAAAGCCAUAUUCUCCCCAGCUGGGUGAUCCAAAUGAAGCCCAGGUAGCACUUGUUCUGUGCAGGAGUGAUGGCCCAGCGGGGAGGGGCUGGCUCGGAGCCCCAGGGAAGCCCUGAUGCCUGGCCACAAACACAGGGAAUGCCUGGCCCCUGCUGCAUCAGCAGCUGCAGGGCUUGCUCUGGGAUCAGGUGUUCUGUGGAGCUUACCAGCAGAGAGAACGUGGCUUUACAAACCUCGUCUUUGUGAUGAGUUGCACAUAACCUUGUUAUUUACUAUAAACUCUACGGCCAUCCUUCUGUCAAGACAUAAAUAUACAGUAGGUACAAAUAUUAACAAUACAUUACAAUUUUACAGAAGAGAAUACGGUUUUCCUUAGAAAUGUGUUUCUUAUUAGCUGCAAGGGAAGAAAAGGCUACAGUUUAUCACAGCCAUAGUUACCAAACAACCUGACCGCCUCAGAUGUGUUUCUCAUGGCUCGCCCAGGCAGAUAUUCCCCGGCAUUUGACACACGGCAUGUUCAGGAAGGGAAUGUGCGUUCCAUGGAUUUCUUUUCCUCUCUCGUGUCUUUUUUUUUUCUUUUUCCUUUCUUCUACCUUUUUUUGACUCUCAAACCUUUCAGAAAAAUGUGGAUUACACAGGAAACUCUUUUGUUUUGGGUUUUUUGUUUGUUUUUUUUUUUUUCUGUAAGUGUGCUUAGGUGAAGUUUUUAAGAAAAGGCACUGAGAAAUCUACUGCAAAGUCAAUGCUUUUUUCCUCUCUUCAAGGCUAAAAUUCAAAUAAUCUUUAGCCUCCUGGUUAAGAAAACUGCACUCUCUCUUUCCACACACACAAAUAUAUAUAUAUAUAUAUAUAUAUGUAUAUAUGUAUAUGUGUGUAUGUGUGUGUGUGUGUUUUCUAUGUAUAUUUGUAGGUAUGUGUUAAAAGUGAUGUUGAUGGUAUAAGAUACAAGCAAGUGCAGACAUCACACGUCCAGAGGGUCCUUGCAGGUAUGAUGUCUUCUGCAUCAGCAGGUCAGGCUCUGCCAGCUUGCUUGACACUUAGUGCACAGUAAAUUUGCAGACCCGAAUUCCAAAUAUCAGUGAUUAAACCACCCCCUUUAGCUCAGUGCAAGAGAUGUUGUCUGUUUUCCCCAACCCCUACGAACUUUGGGAAUCAUGUAUCAGGCAAAAAAAAAUGAAAUUGUCUUUCUAGGAUCUAUAGGUUUGGGUGAGCAUUAUGUUUUCCAAGCACUGCCUUUCCUUUGCAAUGAGUACAGAUUUCGUCUACCAUAGCUUUAGCUUAGAGUAGAUUUCCCAGUGCUUACAUUAUAUAUAU
rnacentral:lncRNA from 1 species